ensembl:processed_transcript Six3os1 SIX homeobox 3, opposite strand 1
UCACAGAUGCUGCUCGGGGCCAGCCCUAUACUCCCUCCAGUGCCUGGUCUCCCGUGGACCCGCGGGGCUCUGCAGUUCUCUGGCGGCCGCGCCUUGUAAGCGCUAAGCCGGGAGGAGGGCGCAGGCAGGGCGCACAGCUCUGAGCGGGACCCUACCCGGCUCGGGCCCGCAGCAGCCCCGACUGUCCGAGAGCCUCUCCGCAAGCAAGGCUCUGCGCCGCCCUCUGAGCCCACCUCCUGGCCACAACGCUGCCUGCGCUUCUCCAGCCCAGGCCGGAAGCCCUAUGCUGCCUCCCGAAGCCGGACUUUCUGGAAGCCCAUCUUCGUAUCCUCACCAGCCCACCCUCCUACGCUGGUCAGAGUGAGAUUGCUAACCUCAAGACCCCAUUCAAUGCCAGCUUUCAACUACUGCUGAAGACCAAUGUAGGUCCUGGAAUAGAAGAACUGCAGAGUAUCCGGAGCUGGCCGACCCCAGACUGAUUCUCAACAGGUGGCUGGGUAGUGCCCCCCACCCUGUGUUGGUAGUGCGGGACCCAUCGCACACAGAGAAGCCACCUUACCCCUCACCUCACCCCGUCGGCCAAAGACUGACCACCCGCGCCCGAGUGUGGGGAGGGGUGGGAAUUCCGGAUCACACACACACACACACACACACACACACACCAGGGUAGGGGAACAGGGAAGAUCUUACCUGCAGAAAGGUAAGAGAAGCCGGGAGCGUGU